ACGGCUCAGUAACACGUAGACAACCUACCCUCAGCACGGGGAUAAACCCGGGAAACUGGGUAUAAUACCCGAUAGUUCUGGUUUGCUGGAAUGCUUCCAGGACGAAAGCUCCGGCGACUGAGGAUGGGUCUGCGGCCUAUCAGGUAGUAGUGGGUGUAAUGUACCUACUAGCCUACGACGGGUACGGGUCGUGAGAGCGAGAGCCCGGAGAUGGAUUCUGAGACACGAAUCCAGGCCCUACGGGGUGCAGCAGGCGCGAAAACUUUACAAUGCUGGCAACAGCGAUAAGGGGACCUCGAGUGCCAGGAUACAAUCUUGGCUGUCGCAAUGCCUAAAAAGCAUUGCAUAGCAAGGGCCGGGCAAGACCGGUGCCAGCCGCCGCGGUAACACCGGCGGCUCGAGUGGUAACCGCUAUUAUUGGGUCUAAAGGGUCUGUAGCCGGCCGGAUAAGUCUCUUGGGAAAUCCAGCUGCUCAACAGUUGGGCUUUCAGGAGAUACUGUUCGGCUCGAGGCCGGGAGAGGUGAGAGGUACUUCAGGGGUAGGGGUGAAAUCUUGUAAUCCUUGAAGGACCACCAGUGGCGAAGGCGUCUCACCAGAACGGACCUGACGGCAAGGGACGAAAGCUAGGGGCACGAACCGGAUUAGAUACCCGGGUAGUCCUAGCCGUAAACGAUACUCGCUAGGUGUCAGCCACGGUGCGACCGUGGUUGGUGCCGUAGGGAAGCCGUGAAGCGAGCCACCUGGGAAGUACGGCCGCAAGGCUGAAACUUAAAGGAAUUGGCGGGGGAG
rnacentral:rRNA from 1 species